rnacentral:rRNA from 1 species
AGUGGCGCAAGGGUGAGUAACACGUGAAUAUCUGCCUACGAAUUUGGGAUAACGCGGGGAAACCUGUGCUAAUACCAGAUAAGCUCUUAUGUGCAAAGGAGCCUCAAGCUCCGUUUGUAGAUGAGUUCGCGGACCAUUAGCUAGUUGGAGGGAUAAUAGCCCCCCAAGGCUACGAUGGUUAGCCGGCCUGAGAGGGUGAUCGGCCACACUGGAACUGAGACACGGCCCAGACUCCUACGGGAGGCAGCAGUGGGGAAUAUUGCGCAAUGGGCGAAAGCCUGACGCAGCAACGCCGCGUGAGGGAUGAAGGAUUUUGGUUCGUAAACCUCUGUCAAGUGGGAAGAAUACUGACGGUACCACUAAAGGAAGCCCCGGCUAACUCCGUGCCAGCAGCCGCGGUAAUACGGAGGGGGCAAGCGUUGUUCGGAAUCAUUGGGCGUAAAGAGUAUGUAGGCGGCUAUUUAAGUCAGACGUGUAAGCCCACGGCUCAACCGUGGAAUUGCGUUUGAAACUAUUUAGCUUGAGUGCAGGAGAGGAAGGCGGAAUUCCCAGUGUAGCGGUGAAAUGCAUUGAUAUUGGGAAGAACACCGGUGGCGAACGCGGCCUUCUGGUCUGACACUGACGCUGAGAUACGAAAGCCAGGGAGCGACGGGAUAGAUACCCCGUAGUCCUGGCCGA